GGCAGGCUUUGCCUUUUCUGGUAGUUAAAGCUGCUGAAAGAACAAGCAGGAAUUCUUUGUGCUGCAGACGGGCUGAGAUAUAAACCAGGCUGUAGAGGUUGAUAUAUGAAGAGAGGGGAGACACUACUGUCCAUGGACUAAACUCCAGCUACUGCUAAGUGAGAAAGUGAGGAGAAUCAUUUGGGCAUCAUGGACGAUGACUUUGAACGCCGCAUGGAGCUGAGGAGGCAGAGGAGAGAGCAGAUGCGCCUCGAAGCGGACAACAUGGGUUGCGCCAACAAUGAUGAUGAGGAGGCAGCUCGGGAGCAAAGAAGACGUGCAAGGGAGGAGAGGAAGAAGAUGAGGGAACUAGAGGAGUCUGGAACCUCCGAUGUGAUUGAAACCAACAGCAUGACAGAGACAGAGUCCUCCACCACCACCACCACCACUGCUGAAGGUGCCGAUGACGACCAGGCUUUGCUGGAGCGCCUGGCCAAGAGGGAGGAGCGCCGGCAGAAGAGAAUGCAGGAGGCCCUGGAGAGACAGAAGGAAUUGGACCCCACCGUCGGCACCACCAACGGCACAGACAGCACACUGGAGGAGCAGUCCUCCAUCAGCAGCAGCAGACAGCGGCAUACAGAGGAAGAAGAGGGGAAGAAGGAGGAGGAACUAGCUAAAGAGGAGGUGGCAGACGCUGAUACCAACUCCUGGAGGAAAGAGGAAGAGGAGAAGAAGGAAGAUGUGGAGGAAUCUGUUGACGAAUCAAGAACAAGGAGCACGAGAAAUGAGGAGGAAAUUGAAGAGAAGGCUCCAGCAACAGAAGAAGCUGAGCAGCCUGAUGCAGGAAUGAAAGAUGCCGAAGAGGAAGCUGUUCCUGAUGUUGACAAGGAGGAAGAGGAAAGGAAAAGGAGAGAAGAAGAGGAAAGACAGCAAAAAGAAAAGGAGGAAAAGCAGAGGAUAGAAGAGGAAGAAAGGCUAAAAAAGGAACAGGAGGAAAAGCUCAAGAAAGAGGAAGAAGAGAGGCAGCAAAGGGAGGAGGAGGAGAGGAAGAAGAGAGAAGAGGAGGAGAAGCAGCGAAAGGAAAUGGAAGAGAGGCUGAAAAAAGAGGAAGAAGAAAAACUGAAAAAGGAGAAGGAGGAAAAAAUGAAAAAAGAGGAGGAGGAAAGGCAGAAAAAGGAGAUGGAGGAGAGACAGAAGAAAGAGGAGGAGGAGAAAAGAAAGAAGGAGAUGGAGCAGAAGAAGAAGAAAGAGGAGGAAGAGAAACGCCGGAAAGAGCUGGAAGAGAAGAAGAAAAAGGAGGAGGAAGAGAAGCAGAAGAAGAAAGAGCUGGAGGAGAAGAAGAAGAAGGAAGACGAGGAGAAGCGGAAAAAGGAGGCUGAGGAGAAGAAGAAGAAAGAGGAGGAGGACAAGCGAAGGAAGAGAGAGGUGGAAGAGAAGAAGAAGAAAGAGGAGGAGGAGAAGCCCAAGAAGUUUGGUUUUAAGGAAAAGACUGAACCAACCAAACAGAACGGAGCGCUGUUUGAGAAUAAACUUAAGAAAACAGAGAAGACAACAAGUGCUCCCUCCUCAAAGGCAGAUGAUGCGGAGCGAAAGGAGGCCGAGCGUAAGCUGCAGGAGCUGAAGCGCCGGCGAAAUGAUGCAGAAAGCGAGGACGUUGAGAAGAUGAAGCAGAAGCAGCAGGACGCAGAGGCUGAGCUGGAGGAGCUGAAGAGGAAGAGAGAGGAGAGGAGGAAGAUCCUGGAGGAGGAGGAGAAGCAGAAGAAACAGGAGCUAGAGGACAAGAAAGCCAAAGAACAGGAGGAGAGGAAGAGGAUGAAGGAGGAGAUAGAGAAGAGGAGGGCGGAGGCUGCAGAGAAGAAGAAACAGAUGGUGGAAGAAGACUCUACAAAACCUGCCUUUGCUAUCAGUCCCAAAGGCUCCUCAAAGAUCGGGGCGAAGGCAGAAUUCUUGAGCAAAUCAGCCAGUAAAAGCACCGCAGCCAGAGUGUCUCACACUCCGAUUGUCUCCAAGAUAGGCAACAGACUGGAGCAGUACACUUCUGCCCUCCAGGGAGCCAAAGACACCAAAUCCCCAAAGCCUGCGGUGGCAGAUAUUCCUACAGGAGGCGCGCGCAGCAUCAAGAACAUGUGGGAGAAAGGAAACAUCAGCAACACCUCUGAAAGUCCAGCUCCUACUGUCAAGGAUGUGGCUGGUAUCAAAGGUGGCGUGGCCGGACGUGUCAACAGUUGGAUGGCAAAGCCUCCAGAGGCGGAGAAGACAGCAGCACCUGCGGCAGCAGCACCAGCAGCAGCAGCAUCACCAGCAAAGCCAGCAGAUGUGAAACCAGGUGACGUCGGUAACAAGCGUGGCAUGUGGGAAACCAAGAAGAGCUCUACACCUGCCAAGUAGACCUAAUAGAAGGGUGAAAGAGGUGGCAGUUGGAGUCAGGAGCAAAUUUCACUAAUGGAGGCGUGAAAACCGAACCAUUGACAUCCCCGUUUAAAUUAAGCCUCACCUGACCAGACACAAGGCUCUGCUACUGUAUGUGCAUCCAUUUCCCCUCAACUUACCUGUGCUUUGCAUGAAGCCCACACCAGAGUGAGGAAAAGACGAAGGACCAGGAUAAGUGACUCCCAGCAUCAAUGUCUCCAGAGAUUUUUCCUCAAAAGUUAAAAAAAAGUAUGUUUUCAUCAGACUUGACUUGAUUUUUUACUAAAGAAUUAAAAGACGAUUUUAUACGUAGUGACGACCCAGUCGCCAGAAUAGAUGUUGGCAACGUUUCUGCAAACCAUGGAUAUGUUACAUCUUGUCUGUCAUUAUGUAGGAGAGAUGUUUCAACAAUGCUGUGGUUAAGGUGUGGUUUGGUUUAGGCACAAAACCUACUUGGUUAUGGUUUGGAAAAGAUUAUGUUUUGGCUUAAAAUACCCAGUUUCGGGGGCACAUUCGCAGCAGGAAAAGCAGAGAUAUCUGCAAAAAUCAACCACUUUUUUGCCACUAUACCUGCCGGAAACGCAGCAAUGUCUUGUUGAAAAUCAACCACCGUUUGUGCCACUAUCCUUGCUGGAAAAGCAGCAAUGCCUCAGCAAAAAACAACCACUCUUCGAGCCUUAAAAGCCACAGUGAUGGAUCCUUAAAAUACCCAUAUUUGGGUGUUUUGCAAAUAUAACGUGUUCGUAGUUUGCAGAAACAUAGACCAACACUUUCUUUUGCUGACUGGGCUGCUAGUAAGGCUUUUCAGGACAAAGUGGCACAUGUUUAAUGCUUAGUAGGUUAAGGAUUGUGUAGUGUCCAGCUGUUUUAUCAAGGUUACAAAUUUCAGAUGGCUGUGCCUGAAUGUUAUAUUGCUCACUGACAUGUCUGCUCUUCUUGUCGUGUAUUGUCAUAUAGCUUAAUCCAAAUAAUAGGCAUUUGUGUUUUAUUGUCAUACACACUCACUGCUUUUUGGGAUGAUAGUCACUGUUUUGACUCCAUGUGAUAACCAAGGCUGUUUAAUGUGCAUCUCACCGCUUAGAUUAAACUGCCACUGAGCUGGAUGUUGGGUGACGAACCUGUACAUAAUAGAGUCAUUUCUCAAGUCAGCACCAUUUUCUAAUAAGGCAGCCUUUAUUAAGGGUUUAUGAAUAGUAACUUAAGACUUUAUUAAUGGUUAAUAGUGGUUGAUAAGUCAGUAAUGAGAGCAGUUUUUGGGUUGCCAUGUCUUUUGCAUGCAUUGCCUUGAAGUUUGGUGCAGACAUUCAUGGUGCCCAGAGGAUGAAUCCUAAUGACAGUGAUGAUCCCCUGACUCUUCAUAUAGCGCCACCAGCAGGUCAAACUUUUCACUUAUCCAGUGAAAUAUCUCAAAAAUCUAAUGGAUGGAUUGGCACUCAUCCCUGAGGGUAAAGCCUUCUGGCAUGAUGUGAUUUUGCCAAGCAGGAAAUGCUCCUAGAUCAACUUCCCACGUUGCGAUCAACCAAUCACAGCCCUGUGACAUCGUCAGUGUGCUGCUCAUGUGCUUCCAAUUCCUUGGUGCAUCUUCUAAGCUAUUUUUCCAAAUUGAAGUUAGUUGGUUAUAUUGAACAAUAUCCUCAGCAACACUGAAUAAAACCUCUAUGAGCUACUCCAGGGUUAGUGAGGUGGCUUGCUAAGUGGGUAAGCUAGGCUAUGCUAACAAGUAAGCUGCCAAUAGGCUAGUAUAUAAGCCAGGUAGUUUGCUAUCUAAGUCAGCUAUGCUGCUACAUAGGCUUGUCGAUAGGCUACAGUAUUAGUGAGUUAGCCUGCUAAAUUGGUAAAGUUAGGUCAUGCUAACAAUUAAGUUUUCCAGUAAACUAGACUAUUGUUCAAUUACAAAGAGUAAGGAUAAUAGCUAACUCGGUAAUAUUCUAGUCUAUUGGCAAGUUUUCUUGUUAGCAUAGCCUACAUAUUUAGCAAGCCAACUCCUAAAUAUUUUAGUCUAUUGACAAGUUUACUUGUUAGCAUAGCCUACACAGUUAACAAGCUAUAUUGCUAAUAUUCUCAUCUAUUGGCAAGUUUACUAGUUAGCAUGAACUUCUGAAUUAGCGAACUAACUCGCUAAUAUUCUAGCCUAUUUAUAAACUCACUCGUUAGCAUAGCACCUAGUUAGCAAGCUAACUCGCUAAUAUUCUAGUCUAUUGGCAAGUUUACUUGUUAGCAUAGUCUUCCUAGUUAGCAAGCAAACUCGCUAAUAUUCUGGUCCAUUAGCAUGUUUACUUGUCUACCUAAUUAGCAAGCUAACUCGCUAAUAUUCUAGUCUGUUAGCUUGUUAGCAUAGUCUUCCGAAUUAGCAAGCUAACUCGCUAAUAUUCUAGUCUAUUGGCAAGUUUACUUGUUAGUAUAGCCUUCUUAGUUAGCAAGCUAACCCACGGCACACUGAUGUGUCAGAGGGCUGUGAUUAUUAUUGUAAUGUUGGUCCAGGAAUGCAAUUUGGGAUGUUGAUCCAGGAACAUGUCCUACUUGCCAAAAUCCUUUCUGACUGAAAGUACUGCUAUUAAACUUGGUACGCACAUUCAUGUUUCCCUUGGAAUGAACUUCAUUAACCCCAGCCUUUCAUUUAGUGCCAUCAUCAGCUGAACAUUUUGUUUAUGACCAAAUACCUGCACAAAUAAUAUACCUAUCAGCCUCAGCUGACCUUUGUGUUUGGUAUUAAUUAAUCAGAGAGUCCUGUCAGCUAUGAAGGACCGUUGGACCACUGAGUGCCCAUUAUACAAACUGAAUAGACUAUUGUAAGUAUUCUUCAUUCAUGGCUUAUUAGCAAUUCUAACUACAGAGUUAAUUGCUUAUUAGAAAAUGAGAGCCAUAAGCACCUAAGUUUAUAAAGAGUGUCUUAUUAUGAAGUGGCACAUUCAGCCCAGGACCGCAGCCAGAGAAACACAGUGUGCACGCCGUUCAAUGUUUCUGUCAACAAAACAUGGGUUUGUUACCUUUUUUUAAACUUUUGGCAGUUUAAAAAUCACAUUAUUGUGUAAUAUAAGCACCAACAAAGUCUAUGAAUACGAGUGUAAGCAAGUAUCCACUGUAACAACUAUUCAGUGACCAAAUACAGUUUUAUUUAACAGGCUGGUAGCAGUCUUGCUUUUCUAUCAUCUGUUUACGUGCCACUAACAAUGCAGUUUAUUUGCAGCAGCUGCAACAGACAUAGAGGUUAAAAGACAAUGGCAACGUGCACUCUGUUUUAACAAUGCCUGUAAUUAACUUUAACUUGUAUCCCGGUGUUCCUGUCAGUCAGCUGUGCACAUGAGUUGAAUCCUGCCAAAAUGUAUUGUGAGUGUUUCAGCGGAGGGUUGCUUUGUUUGAAUAUUUGAUAUUAUUGUUUGUAUUUGCUUCAGCAAUAAAAAAAAUAAAGGAAC